UACGGGAGGUGCAAGCGUUGUUCGGAUUGACUGGGCGUAAAGAGCACGUAGGCGGGUCCAUAAGUCGGAUGUGAAAUCCCCAGGCUUAACCUGGGAACUGCAUCCGAAACUGCGGAUCUUGAAUACUCGAGAGGUUGGUGGAAUUCCUGGUGUAGGAGUGAAAUCCGUAGAUAUCAGGAGGAACAUCGGCGGCGAAGGCGGCCAACUGGUGAUGUAUUGACGCUGAGGUGCGAAAGCGUGGGGAGCAAACAGG
rnacentral:rRNA from 1 species